GCAGAGGGCGCUUUGGUGUUGGCAGCGGUCCAAGUUCCUUGGAACAGGACGUCACAGAGGGUGAGAAUCCCGUACGUGGUCGCUAGCCUCCGCCGUGUAAAGCCCCUUCGACGAGUCGAGUUGUUUGGGAAUGCAGCUCUAAAUGGGAGGUAAAUUUCUUCUAAAGCUAAAUACUGGCCAGAGACCGAUAGCGCACAAGUAGAGUGAUCGAAAGAUGAAAAGCACUUUGGAAAGAGAGUCAAAUAGCACGUGAAAUUGUUGAAAGGGAAGCGCUUGCAGCCAGACUUGCCUGUAGUUGCUCAUCUGGGCUUUUGCCCGGUGCAUUCUUCUGCAGGCAGGCCAGCAUCAGUUUGGGCGGUUGGAUAAAGGUCUCUGUCAUGUACCUCUCUUCGGGGAGGCCUUAUAGGGGAGACGUCAUGCAACCAGCCUGGACUGAGGUCCGCGCAUUUGCUAGGAUGCUGGCGUAAUGGCUGUAAGCGGCCCGUCUUGAAACACGGACCAAGGAGUCUAACAUCUAUGCGAGUGUUUGGGUGUCAAGCCCGAGCGCGUAAUGAAAGUGAACGGAGGUGGGAACCCUUUUGGGGUGCACCAUCGACCGAUCCUGAUGUCUUCGGAAGGAUUUGAGUAAGAGCAUGGCUGUUGGGACCCGAAAGAUGGUGAACUAUGCUUGAAUAGGGUGAAGCCAGAGGAAACUCUGGUGGAGGCUCGCAGCGGUUCUGACGUGCAAAUCGAUUCGUCAAAUUUGGGCAUAGGG
rnacentral:rRNA from 1 species